rnacentral:rRNA from 1 species
AUCAACUUUCGAUUGGUAGGAUAGAGGCCUACCAUGGUGGUAACGGGUAACGGGGUGUUAGGGCACGACACCGGAGAGGGAGCCUGAGAAACGGCUACCACAUCCAAGGAUGGCAGCAGGCGCGCAAAUUACCCAAUCCCGACACGGGGAGGUAGUGACAAUAAAUAACAAUACGGGGUUCUUUCGGAUCUCGUAAUUGGAAUGAGUACAAUUUAAAUCUCUUAACGAGGAACAAUUGGAGGGCAAGUCUGGUGCCAGCAGCCGCGGUAAUUCCAGCUCCAAUAGCGUAUAUUAAAGUUGUUGCAGUUAAAAAGCUCGUAGUUGAAUUUCGGGGUUAGUAGGUUGGUCAUGCCUCUGGUAUGUACUGGUCUCACUGAUUCCUCCUUCCUUAUGAACCGUAAUGCCAUUAAUUUGGUGUUGCGGGGAAUUUGGACUGUUACUUUGAAAAAAUUAGAGUGUUUAAAGCAGGCUAACGCUUGAAUACAUUAGCAUGGAAUAAUGAAAUAGGACGUUCGAUCUUAUUUUGUUGGUUUCUAGGAUUGACGUAAUGAUUAAUAGGGAUAGUUGGGGGCAUUAGUAUUCAAUUGUCAGAGGUGAAAUUCUUGGAUUUAUUGAAGACUAACUACUGCGAAAGCAUUUGCCAAGGAUGUUUUCAUUAAUCAAGAACGAAAGUUAGGGGAUCGAAGACGAUCAGAUACCGUCGUAGUCUUAACCAUAAACUAUGCCGACUAGGGAUCGGAUGAUGUUAAUUUUUUAAUGACUCAUUCGGCGCCUUACGGGAAACCAAAGUGUUUGGGUUC